AUUUAACGCUGGCGGCAGGCCUAACACAUGCAAGUCGAGCGAGCGGCGGACGGGUGAGUAAUGUAUGGGGACUGCCCGAUAGAGGGGGAUAACUACUGGAAACGGUGGCUAAUACCUCCUACUGUCGGAUAACCCAUAUGGGAUUAGCUAGUAGGUAAUUGAAUGGAUUACCUAGGCGACGAUCCCUAGCUGGUCUGAGAGGAUGAUCAGCAACACGGGGAGUGAGACACGGCCCAGACUCCGACGGAGGCAGCAGUGGGGAAUAUUGCACAAUGGGUGCAAGCCUGAGGCAGACAUGCUGCGUGUAUGAAGAAGGCCCUAGGGUUGUAAAGUACUUUCAUUCGGUAGGCGUUACCGACAGAAGAAGCAACGGCUAACUCCGUGCCAGCAGCCGCGGUAAUUC
rnacentral:rRNA from 1 species